ACCUGCCUCUCCGUGAGGUCCAGCAGGGCCGCAAUUUCGACGCGGCGCGGCCGGCACAGACCCAAUGGUGGUUGGGCUCCGGGUCACGUGACGACUUCUUUGUAGCUCCGGAAGAGAACUGUGAAGUUUAGGUUGCUUGGAAGAAGCAGUAAACGGCCAGAUUUUGUUAUUGUUGUUGUUGUUGUGUAAGGGGUGGCCAGGAAGUUGUGGCCAAAGGAGCAAGAAGACAAAAGGUCAAUGAGAAAAACUGAGAAGCAAGAGAAUUGGAAGGGGGGGAAAAAUCAAGAUUUGGAGAAAUUAACCACAGAGAUGGAAGGUGUGUUAAUUUGGGCGCUUCUUGGAUUCUACCCUGAGGAGGAGGCGCAUGAUCUUGAUCUGCCGCUCGCUGAGGUUCAGCAGGUUGGCCAUCUCCACGCGGCGC